AUGCUAUCGGCCACCGAGUUCAUUCAGGUAGCGGUUACCCUUUGGGCACUUUGGUUCUCAAGGAGACAAGCAUUACAUGAGGAUAUAUUCCAAAGUCCACUCGCAACACAUCACUUCAUCAAAAGGUAUAUAAGGGAUUUGGAAGAUUCCAAGCCGAAGAGGUCUUCAGCACCUACUGGACAGAACCAACAACAACCAUCUCCCAGAUGGAUCCCACCUCCGCUCGGGUCUGUGAAGAUAAGAGUAGAUGGUGCAGUUUCAAGAAACCAAAACGAAGGAUCCUUCAGUGCGGUCUGUAGGGAUGCCUCGGGCCUAUACUUGGGCUCUUCCGCAAUCAGAGUCAGGGAUAUCACUGAUCCACCAACCUUGGAAGCAUUGGCAUGUCGAGAGGCGCUUGCUCUAGAACUGGACCUUGGUCUAUCACAUGUAAUCAUCGCCUCAGAUUGCCAAGGAGUUAUCAAGGAUAUUCACAAGCAGGAGGGAGGAAUGUAUGCAAGCAUAAUAAGGGAAAUUGGAGACACUGCAAGAACAAUCAAUGACUGCACCUUCAUCUUCGAGGGUAGAGCUACAAAUAUUGAGGCACAUAGCCUCGCUAAGCACGCUUUCGGUCUGGAUUUCGGGCGCCAUGUGUGGCUUAUAAACCCGCCAGAUCUUCGAUGUAUCCCCAUAAACAUCUCUGAGUUCUAA
rnacentral:rRNA from 1 species